CAACCCUGGGCUCCCCUCCUUGGGCUCUUCCAACCCUGGGUUCCCCUCCAUGGGCUCCUCCAACCCUGGGCUCCCCUUCCUGGGCUCUUCCAUCUCUGGGCUCCCUGUCCUUGGACUCCUCCAUCCCUGGGCUCCUCCAUCCCUGGACAGCCCCCUCCCUGGCUGCCCCCCCCCCCAGCCAUCACCUGACGCAGUCCUGGUCCAAAGCAGGCGCUGAGGCUCCACAUUCCCAGGGCUUUGGGGAGUGGGGCGCACAAGAGCUCAGGAGGCCACCCUGGGUUGGAACCCUAGCCCUGCUGCCUGCCCCGGUGUGCCAGGGCCUGCAAGUCUAGAAACCGAGGCACAGGAAAGUAAGUGACUCGCUGAAUUCCCCCAGCCGGUGAGCAGUGGGGCCGGGAUUAUAUCCAUGCCGGCUGGCUGGAGGCCGUGGUCCUCCUCACGCUGCUGGCUGCCUCUGAGUCCUGUGGAUCAUGGGGCUUCCUCUCAGCUUUCUGGGGCCUUCUACCUCAUCUAAGAUGGGGUGAGAAACGGGGGCUUAGGAAGCAAGAAGGUUAUUAUCAGGGCCCUUUCUCCUCCAUACCCCCGUAAAAGGUGACUCACUGGCUUCUGCUCAGGGCCUGACACAUGCUGAGCAAAGGGUCAUUGGCCUGGUCCUGCUGGGCUCGUUUCAGGACAAGUGCCCCUGGGUGCAUGGGGUUCCUCAGGAAAUGCAUUUGCUCCCAAACACCACUCAGGGAUCAGGUUUCCUGGGGCAAGGGCAACCCAGAGACCACCGCCAUUGAGAAAGGGGCAGCCCAGCUCCAUGCCCUGAACCAGUGCCGUCCUGGGUCCUCAUGCGCAUCAUGGCCCUGUCACCUGCUCCCAAGGUGGCUCUCAGUGGCACAACCUCUUCUGUCACCCUGAAAGUGCAAGGCCGGGGAGACUGUCAGGUAGAAUUGUUUCCGGCUGCAAGUAAUUGAUGGGCAGGGACUUAUGCAAAUGCAGCCUUAUUCAUCUAUCACAGCAAGAGGGUGGGGAGCCAGGAUUGGGCCUGGGACUCAGUGAUGUCGAGGAAUGGGCUCAGCUUUUCUGGUAGCCAUGGGACUUGAGUCUGAGGCUUUCUUUUUGACUGUCCCCUUACAACACAUUACACCAGCCCGUCAGGGAAAAGAACCAGUGAACCCUGAUUUGUUAAAUCUAGGAACAACUUCAGCAUGAACGAAGGCCCUGGGGAGGGCGCCUGGGUAAUACAGGGGAUUCAUGUGGCUCCCAGUUGGCACCUCCCCACCAUCCCGGCCUGGAGGAGACGGAAAGGGAGGUCAGUGGCUCUUUAGUCUCCCCACCCCCUCCCACAUUCCAGGACACCUCCUGGAGCCACACUGUGCACUGGGCCGGCCCAGCCCAGCCCGUUCCCAUCCUCCCUGGGUGUGAUGAAUGCUAGGGCUGCUUACAAAGUCACAAAUUAGGUUGCCAAAGGCAUCCCCGGUUUGGCCUGGAAAUACCUCCCAGCUGAAAGGAGGCGCGUCUGGGCUGAGCAGACGUCUUUAUUCAGCUGUAAUUGAUGUUUCACAGACGUCUGUAACUCCGUCUGGAGGGACACAAAGCGCCCCCAUGCUUGGCCCGGGCAGCCGCUUUAUGUCGCCCCUUUUCAUCUGGCAGUCAAAAGUGUAGGAGCCGCCUGGGCUCUCCUGCUUGGUCCCUGGGCUAGGACAAAGGCGGGUGCUGCAGAUAGAGGCCACCCGGUGGGCCUUUACCUCCUGGAGUGCUCUAUGCUAAUCUAGCGCCAGCCCAGACCCCUCCUGCAUGUUGAUGGACUGCAGGGAUGGCAGCUGAAACGGGCAGAGCCCUGGCUUACCGGGAAAGGGGGUGUCUCCCAGCAGUCAGAUGGAGCCAGUGGGUGCACCUGAACCCAGACUCAGUUGGCUGAGAUGGAAGGUGAAGGGCCUGGUAUUGAAGCAGGGGUUCUCAGCCCGGGACCCAAGGCCCCAGGGGAGGGACAUGCGAGCCUCCAAAGUCACAGGCAUAUCUAUGCACAGGUUUCUUUCUCUAGGAAGAAGCUCAAUAGCUUUCAUCAGAUGCUCAAAAAGGCAACAGAAGCUCCAACAUGGCCACAUGAAUUCAGAUUCUCCCUCUGAGCCCCUUGCCCUGAAGCCAGAAGAGGGCUGCAGCGAGGAGCUGGUGCCCAGAAACCGUUGCCAGUCCUCCGUGGUGCCUGGAGCAGGUCUGCAGCUUGCGGGCUGUGUGGCUUCUGCUUUUGGUUGACAAUCCCAACGGAGAUGCCCAUCUCCAGCGACUGCAAUUCCUCCCCUUUCCUGAGCCCUGCUAUUUCCCAGGCUGGAGGUACUAAGUGACAGGUUAAUGGCAGGCUGUGCUGGCCCCGCAGGGUGCCCUGACCUUCCUUCUGGGUUUGGCAUGAUCCUACAGCGUCCUCCAGAGAGGGCAAGAGGAGACCAGAGUGGGAAAGACAGAAAAAGAGAGAGCCACAGAGAGAACAAAAAGAGAGAGAGAAGGAGGGAAGGGAGACAAGGGAGCAGAGAGGAAGAGAGAAAGGAGGAGAGAAAGAGGAAGAAUCAGAUGAGUAUAGAGAGAGAGAAAGAGGGAGGAUCAGAAAGAGACAGGAAAUGGGGCUGCCUGGAGAGAGAUGGGAGAGAGACUCAGAGAGACGGAGACAGAGCCCAGACAGGAAAGAGGCCAAGAGGAGAGGAGGUGAGAGGAGAGGAGGUGAGAAGGCAGGGAGCUCAGAGCUCCAGAUGUGGGUGGUGCCCUUGGGGGCGGGACAUGGGAGGGGGUGGAGGGGUGUCUCUGUGGUUCUCAGGCUCUAAGCGUGAGAAUCAGCGCCCUCCCAGACCAUUUGCUCUUCGCCAUGAUGCCUGGGCCACGCGCACCUGCAUCUGAAGCCCAGAUGAAGCCAGAGCUACCCCGUGCAGGGCCCACGAUGCAGACUUCCAGAACUCACCUGCUCUAGACCACGCUCUGAAAGGCAGAAGCGGAGCUCAUGCUGAGAUCCAGGGAGGAGCUGCAGACGUGAGACCCCACUUGCACAUCAAAGGAGUUUACAUUUAUUUGGGAACAGGCUGUAGUGCAGUGGUGUGAACUUGGCUCACUGCAACCUCCACUUUCCGGGUUCAAGCAGUUCUCCUGCCUUACCCUCCCGAGGAGCUGGGAUUACAAGCACACACCACCAUGCCCAGUUUCUGUAGGUCAAGAAUCCUGGAAUGGCUGAGCUGGGCCCUCUGCAAGCCUGCAAUCAAGGUGUGGGUCAGGACUGGGUCCUCAUCUGGAAGCCUGACUGAGUAAGGAUCUACUUCCAAACUCAUACAGCUCUUCGCAGAAUUCAGUUCCUCGCAUUUACAAGACUCGGGGUUCAUUUUCUUGCUGGCUGUCUGCUGCCCUCAGUUUUAGAGGUCACUCUCAGUUGGGCCUCAAAUGACCACCUGCUUCAAAGCCAGCAAGUCUUGUGUGAAAUGCUCCAGCAAGAUAGGUGCUACACUCUUACCUGAUGAUUUAAUCACCUAACCAUGUACACAGAAUCACCGGCAUCCCAUCACCUUUACUGUAUUCUACGGAUUAGAAGCAAGUUCCAGGUCUGGCCAAACAAAAAGGAGAUAAGGUUAUACAAGGGCAAGAAUACCAGAAAGUGGGGACAUCUAUUUAUUUAUUUAUUUAUUUUGAGACAGAGUCUUGCUCUGUUGCCAGGCUGGAGUGCAGUGGUGCAAUCUUGUCUUACUGCAACCUCUGCCUCCAGGGUUCAAGCGAUUCUCCUGCCUCAGCCUCCCAAGUAGCUGGGAUCACAGGCACCUGCCACCAUGCCUGGCUAAUUUUUUGUAUUUUUAGUAGAGAUGGGGUUUCACCAUGUUGACCAGGAUGGUCUUGAUCUCUUGACCUCAUGAUCUGCUCACCUCAGCCUCCCAAAGUGCUGGGAUUAGGCCACCACCGCCUAUUUUUUUUUUUUAUAGCUACAUAUUCAUAGUUAGCAUAUAUUGCCCAUUUGCUAUGUGCUGAUUAUCCCCCUUAACACUCACAACUCACUCAGAUAGAUGUUAUUUUCCACAUUUUACAGAUAAGGAAACUGAUGCUCAAAGAAGUGAGGUGACCUGCCCAAGAUCAAAUGUGGAAUUACUGGCAAAGAUGGAUUUCAAUCUAAGUCUAUCUGACUACAAUACAUUUCCUCUUUUCCUUAUAUCAAGAUGCUAAUGAGGCUGUGCAUGGUGGCUCAUGCCUGUAAUCCUAGCAUUCUGGGAGGCCGAGGUGAGCGGAUCAUUUGAGGUCAGAAGUUUCAGACCAGCCUGGCCAACAUGGUGAAACCCUGUCUCUACUUAAAAAAAAAAAAAAAAAAAAAAGCAAAAAUUAGCCUGGCAUGGUGGUGUGCACCUGUAAUACUAGCUAUUCAGGAGGCUGAGGACGAGACUUGCUUGAACCUAGGUGGCGGAAGUUGCAGUGAGUCGAGAUCAUGCCACUGCUCUCCAGCCUGGGUGACAGAGUGAGACUCCAUCUCAAAAAAAAAAGUGCUAAUUAAUAAACCCUCUUGGGUGCUGUUUAGUAAAGCCAGCUAUCUCUUGGCUUGGACACAACUGCAUGCUUUCCUCACUUUGUGUCCCUGUAUCUGAUACUCUGGGCCCUUCCCCCGUGACAUUUGUGUCAUUGAGACCAAGUAAAUAGCUAUUAGUUAUGUCCUUCCCCUGAGCCUAUAUUUUUCUUUCCUUUGCUCCCUUUGGGUAGUCCACUCUGUGCUCACUGCCACCCUGUUGGAAUGGGGCGGUCCAGGAAAUACAGGUCCAUCACCCACCUUCCUGGCUUCUGCUUCUCAGUGCCCAAGUCCCUAGAAAAAUUCAGAGUUGUGAGCAAAGACAAAAUAUCUUGAAGAAGCAGAGAAAGGAGGGGAUUCUCCUUUCUCCAACAUCCUUGGAAUAGAGAAAAACUCUCCCAGGCUGGGGAGAGAAGAAAGGGGUGACAGAAUUAUUGGGUGUUAUUUCCUUAAUUUAUAGACUGAGAUUCACAAAUGCUCACAACUUUAAGGUGUGUUUCCACCCCACACCCCCUUCUCUCAGCCCUUCCUAUCCCUCCUACAAUGGGUUGUAUAUUUGUCAGGGUAUCAGUCUGGUUGCUGCAUCGAAAGACCCAAAAGAAUAGGGCUUAAACACAAAUUUAUUUCUCUUACAUAAAAAUCUAGGUGGAUGGCCGAAUGCUGGAAUGGUGGCCCCAUAAUUACUGGGGACCCAGACGCUUUCUGUUUUGUUGCUCUGCCUUUGUUAACAUGCAACUUCAACUUCAUCUGCACCUCGGGGGGAAGGAAGAGAAAAGGGAUCCUUCCCGGAGCCUGACUUAGGAAGUUAUGUAGUCCACUUCCACUCAUUGGCCAGAAUUUGGUCAUGUGACCACAUGCUAUCUGCAAAGGAGCCUGGGAAAUGUAGUUUUAUAGUGAGAGGCUACACGCCCCUUUAUUCUACAAAUAGUUAUGAAGGGUAAAAUAGACAUAGUGGGACAAUUAGCAGUCUCUGUCAGUGGUCCUAUGUGAUCCAGCCCUGUGGCCUUAGCUCUGUUUCUUUGUUCAGGAGAGUCUCAGGCAUAAAAGCUUUUAAUACGGUGGCUUUGCAUCUGUCAGUGCCUUCAGAAAACAAGUAAGGAGAGGACUGGAGCCAAAGCCCAUGUCCAAAGGUAUCAGCAAGCAAGGAAAGGAGGGUCAGCAUAGGGGUCCUGCCAGGUGAUCUGCACCCAGAGCAAGUUCCAUGGGUGACAGCCUUGUCCACCCUUACUGCCUGUCAUUCUGAUUGCUGUGUGGUGUCCAGACCUAUUCUGAUUGGCUGUGUGGUGUCUGUUUAUCCCCUCCCCCAACUCCAAGAACAACUUUCCAACUUUUUAUUGGCAUGUGAGGUGGCAGGGGGUUUGUCGGCUAAGGAAAAAUUCUCUAGGUAGCAUCUAGGUCUUCUACUCUUCUAGCCAUGCUCAAAUAGGGAACAAUGCAGCAGGUGGCAGGUUUAGGUCCUGUAAGUCCUGCAACAGAAUUAAUUCCCAAGCCCCUUAGUAUGUCCAUUGUCUUCAUUCACACACCUGCCACCCACAUUCACAGCCUGCAUGUCGCUGACCUGGGUCAGUCCCAGAAAAGCCUCGUGAGUGUUCAUAGAUGGUAUUUCUGCUUGCUAACCUCUACCUCAUUCUCUCAGUAUAGCCAAAGGGCAUAUAUGCAUUAAUUCUUUCACUCAUUCAUUCAGCAAGUAAUGAUCAAUUCUGCAAUGUGUGCAGCUCAUCCCGUGGCAGAUGGGAUCUCUGCCCUUGUGGAACUGUGGAGACUAAUCAUUAGCUAAUGGCACAAAGAAGUACACCAUCACAGGUGCCUGUAAUCCCAGCUACUGGGGCAGCUGAGGCAAGGCGAAUCUCUUGAACUCAGGAGCUGGAGGUUGCAGUGAACUGAGAUUGAGCCACUGCACUCCAGCCUGAGUGACAGAGUGAGACUUUGUCUCAAAAAAAAAAAAAAAAAAAAAAAGAUGUGCACCAUCACAGACUGGAUUACUGCUAUGGAGAAAAGGUACAGGGUACAAAAAAAGCAUGAGUAGCAAUGAACAAAAUCAGUGGAAUGGAACAGGGUCUGUACAACAUUCUAGGCAUCAGGCACAGCCUAUGCAAAGGGCCUGAGGCAGAAGCGAGUGUGACUAAUUCCUAGAAUUAAAUGAAGCAAUCGAGGAAAGGAGGGUCAGCAUGGGGAUCCUCCUAGAUAGUCUGCACCCAGAGCAAGCUCUACGGGUGACAGCCUCAUCCACGCUUAGUGCCUGUCAUUCUGAUUGGCUGUGCAGUGCCCAGACCCUUCACUCUGGUUAUCCCCUUUCCCAACUUGAAGAACAACUUUACAACUUUUUUUGGCAUGUAAGGUGGCAUCCCCGCAGCGAGGGGGCAGUGGAGAAUGCCGUUCCUGAUCCUGUCACCCCUACUGCUGAAAACCCUUCAAUGACUUGUUCCCAUUAGCUUUAGUACAGGUUCCACACUUGCCCUAGGUUAGGUCCCUGCCUUCCCCUCUGGCCUCCUGCCUCACCACUCCCGAGCUGGAUGUUCUAUUGCCUCCCAGACACUGGUCCCUCCAUCUGCAAUCCUUUCCCUGAGUAACUCCUCCCGGUCCUUCAGGACUUGGCGUAGACAUCCUGGUCUCUGGAAAGCUAGACCGGAUAUUCUCCUGUUUGCCCUUUCAAAUCUAAGUGCUCUCUGUAGGUUUUGCCAGGAGGGAGGGUAGUGAGGUCAGGGGCCUGCUCUGCAGUUAGCUGUGUGGUUGUGGUAAGUUACUCCACCUCUCUGUGCUUCAGUUUCUACAUGAGGUAAAAUGGAGAUAAGAACUGCACUGACCUCAUAGGAUGGCUGUGAAGAUAAAAUGAAUUAAUGACAUAUGUAAAGUGCUGUUAUUGGUCUUUAGUCUUCUGUCCUGGACUGGGUACUGUGUCAUUGGUUUCAGUCCUGCCUCGCCUCACAGGGCUGGGGAACUCUAGGGUCAGAGUGCUGGGCCUUCGUGUACUCCUGCCUGCUAGUACGUGGCCCAGUGGAAGCCAUAUGGUAACUGCCCAACCCAUUGGAUUUGCUUUAAGAAGAAUGAAUUUCCGGCCAUCAUCCCACAUGGAAGCAAACAUGACCUCUGGCCUUUUCUCCCAGUUGGGGGAUAAGGGAUCCUGAUCUCAGAUCUCUCUCCACUCCGCGACUCCCAAUGCCAUCCUGCACCCCAGCCUCCCGCCAGCUGUCAAUAGGGCAGAUCCCAGUGUCCCUGGAAUGGAACAGUGAGGGGCACUGGUGGUCAGGGAGGUGGCCUUGUGAACACCUGUGGAUGGGGGCUCUUCACAGUCAUAGGGAAACAGACAACCCAGGUGGGUCCAGAGGGACACGGCCAGGGUGGACAAUGCCUCCAAAUCUGAGAAACAGUUGUUGGGGUUCCAGACCUGGGGGAGAGAGGAGGGGUUUUUUCACGCUGAAAGGGGACUUGGGGAGGAGAGAAACCCCUUUCUGAGUAGCCCAGGAGGCAGGGAAAUGCAUGCACUGCAGGUUCUGUGUCCGGACUGAUAACAGCCAUUGUCCCUAAUGACCCUUGUUACUGAGCAACGUGUCCAAGGCUCGACAUUUCUGUGUGCCACCGCCCUGUGCUGACAGUGACCACAGCAUACACCCCAGUGUGCUGAUGGUAACUGAACCCUGACAGUGCCCCCCCGGGUCAUCUUACUCUUCCACCUCCUUAAUUCCUCAUACAGAAUUGGGGUGGGGGACAGCCAGUUCCUGUUUGCUGGUCGAAGGAAGGAAUGAACCCAUAUGGUGGGAACAGGGCAGAAGAGGCAGAGGGAUCAGAUAGUGCUGGGUUCAAAUCUCUCUCCUCAUCUCCUAGCCCUGUGGCCUUGGGCAAGUCACUUAGCUUCUCUGAGCCUCAGUAGUCUUAUCUGUGAGAUGGGAUACCUAGUACCUCCCUCGCUGCAUUGCUGUCAGGUUCAAUGAUCCACUGCGUACCCAAAGGGUGGACAGUGAUUGGUGCCUGCUGAGCCUUUGCUCAGUAAACAAAGCAAGAACUUUCUUCCAAGUCUCUGCUCACCCCUGAAUCCAUAUGUGGUGUGACACCCCUUCAGGACCCCAUCUUUCUGGCACCUUUGGGUUCUCUGCUGCUCCCAAACUUCAAGUCUCAGCCUGUCCCACAAGGGGACAGACACAGGGGACAGAGAGCUGCCCACCUUCACUUUGAGGGAGCCUGGAGGUUACCCCUUUUGUUCAGCCCUCCCUCUGGCGGUCCUUGCCUUCCUCCUGCAAGCUUCAUCUCAGCCAGUCCAAAGGGACGUCCCAGAGAACACGCAAGCUGGAAGGUGGAAGGUGCUGGAAUUGGUGGGAAAAAAGCACCACCCUGGUGAGGGUGAGUUCCUGAGGCCUGGGCACCCUGCACCCCCUGGGCCGGCCGGCUUCCUGCGGAAGGGUCUCUGGUACCUAUUUUCCCAGCCAGGAGGCUGGCGGGUUCCCACAUUACCACAUGAAUGGGGCACAGGCACCCUCCCCCCACUCGAGCAAACAAUUUGGCUAGCAAAUUGACAUAAUUACAAGAGACAUCGAGGGAAGAAAAACGCCCCCCCACCCCCCUGGCCCCCCAGCGGGCUGCUCCCACCGAGUUCCUCAGGGCUUUGUGGGCCAGGGCGCUCAGGGCUGAUUAGAAACCUCGUGGCCUUUUCAAGAGCCCCGAAUGAUUGGUCCCUUAAUCUGAUUACAAUUUGCAGAGCCCUCCAGCCGCCUCUGAAGGGCCGUUCUCAAGCGCCCGCUAGAUGAUGGGCACACACACACACACACACACACACACACACAGCACCCACUUGGGCCUGUCAGGCGGCGCUCGGCCACUUUCGUCAUCAUGCCUCACUCCCUCAAUCAGGCACCUCAGGUGCCAUUCCCUGUGCCCCAAACCUCAGACACACACAGGACCUGACACUGUCCCUAAUGCCUGGGGUUGCCCAUCUUUAGAGGGUCCCACACAGAUACAGUCCCCAUGCCAGAGGCAUAUGUGCAUUUGCCCCUGUGAGUAUACUGUCUCAUCUCCCACCGUCCUCCCCGCGGCCGCCCCGAGCAUCCGGGGUGAGGCUUCCUGACCCCAUCGAGGGCAGACUCCCUCCCCAGCAGCAUUAUUUCUGGGGCUCCUUGAGCUGCAGCUCCCACAGGCUUAGGCCCAGCAGGCGACCCGGACACUGCUCAGGCACAGGCUGCCCCCAGCACGGCUUCUCCCGUCUUGGGAACUCAGCUUGAAGGGGCUUCAGUCAGUGGCCUUAGCCCUCCACGUCCAAUUUGUAUCUCUUAAUCCCUGAGGCUGAACCCCAGUGGCUCCUUUUCCUGUACUUGCUGGGGCUCUCAUAGGCCCCAGCAGCUCAGAAUAGGAGUGCGGUGGGGGCAACGCAGAGGCCGAGGCAGAAGGGGACAGAAGUGGGGGCUCUGCCCUUGUUAACUGCUUUGCCCGGGAGAUGGAAGUUGGGUGUGUGUAUGAGGAUAGGGAACAGGUGCAGGGCCUUCCAGAGUGACUCCCCCAGCCUGCUGUAACUCCAUCUUUUGUGCACCCCAGGCUAGAGGCCCUGGGAAGGAUAUUGUCUACUCAGGAACCCCAUCCUUCUGCCAGAUCAUCCUAAAUGCCUGGAGCCUGGAGCCAGAGAGCAGUGAACACAGAGCCCAGGUUCUGACACCGGAAUCAGGACUGGUGACCUUGAAUGAGUUACUUAUCAGAUCUGGGCCUCAGUUUCCCCAUGUGUAAGAUGGGAAUGCUGCAGCCUAUCUCUCUCAGGGUUGCUGGGAGGCUAAAUGAGCUGAGGCACAGAAGACCCUCAGCACAGCGCCCAGCACAGUCAGCACUCCAUGCCAGACUGUGUCAACCUUCACGAGCCAUGAACAAGAGGGGACUUGAAGUACAAUCAACAAACACACGGAUGGGGUGGUCUGUGUGCACCCCGUAUCCCUGUGGGUGGUCUGUGUGUGCACCCCCAUAUACCUAUGGGAUGGUCUGUGUGUACCCCUGUAUCCCUGUGGGGUGAUCUGUGUGCACCCCUGUAUCCCUGUGGAGUGAUCUCUGUGUGCACCCCGUAUCCCUGUGGGGUGGUCUCUGUGCACCCCGUAUCCCUGUGGGGUGGUCUGUGUGUGCACCCCGCAUCCCUGUGGGGUGGCCUGUGUGUGCACCCCGUAUCCCUGUGGAGUGAUCUGUGUGCACACCCUGUAUCUCUGUGGAGAGAAACUCAGGCCCUACAAGCUUCCUAAGGACCUUCACUUUAUAGCUGGGUUUUCCAGGACGAGCUUCUCAGUUGCCAACGUUUGUCAGCUCUACCUGAUCAGAUGACCCCGUGCUGGUUUGGGGAACAGGGGCCGCCACUCAGCUCUCUCCCAAGGAUUUGAAGCAGGAGAAUGGGGUCUGAAAGCGGAUAUCUAAGGUGAUGCAUGAGGAUUGAAUAGCAGAGGCUACUGAUUGCCAACCCCUCCAUUGCCUGUGUGGUAGCUGAUAAAUGAAAGUACUUCUGAUUGGUCCCUUCCCACAACCAAUCAGACUGGUCGUGGUCCUACUCUUCGCCUCCUGCAACCAGUCAGACUGGUCGUGGGCCACUACUUCAUUUGCAUAGAGUGAACCAAUGAGAAACCACUGAUGGGUAUUUAAACCCCAGAAAAUUCUGUAGCUAUCACUUUUGAGCUCUUACUCGAGCCUGUUUCCGUUCUAUUGAGUGUACUUUUAUUUAAAAUACUUUUUCUGUUUAUGCUGCUGUUUUGUUUGUGUGUUUUAUUCAAUUCUUUGUUUAAAACGCCAAGAACCUGGGCAACUCCACUUAACUGGUAACAUGUUGGCAAGCCAGCCAGGAGAGAGCAUCGAGCUUCAGAUGAUCAUGUGACAAGGUUUCCAGCCAGUUCCAAAUAAAGACAGCAGCCCGGCCACCAAGAAACUACCCUGACUGUCUCCACUGGAUAGAUCAGGGCGGGAGUUCUGACAUCUCCAAUAGACUGACAAGGUUGCAUUGGCUUGGAUCAGCAGGAUGACCCUCAGUCCCGCUCCCCAGCUUCAGUGACUCCAGCUGUCCUGCCCAGAACCGGCAUCCUCAACCUGGAGGUCCCUGAUGGAGCAGGGCUGGCACUCUGGCCUCCAGAUGGCACCAGCACCCAGCUGUUCUCCCCUUCACUCCCAGCCCCCAGCCCAUUCCAGCGCCUGCUGCUUCCCUCUGUAGGCGAGCCCCCACCAAGUUGGCUGAGUCUACAGGAACACAGUGUCCUGCAUGAAUGAGCCUCAGCAGGCCUCCCCUCUGCAGGCCUCCCCCUGUGCAUCAGCACCAGAAGGAUGGCAUCCUCCAGGGACUAGGGAGUUCCUGGAGUCCAGGCCCUGGCAGCUCCUCCUUGGGCCAGCCUCCCUGAAGCCACUGCCCUCAGCAGUUCACCCAGGCCCUGGAGCCCCAGUCUGCAGGGAAGCCACAUGCUCAUCAGCCACAGCCACUGCCGCACCUUGGGCCUCCGAGCACUGCCAGGAGGCUGGAGAGCUGGGGGGCCCGCGGCAGGUGGGGAGCUGCGCGGAGAGGCCUCGGGGGCCUGUGGGCGGCGGGACUUACUCGGGUAGCGAUAGUAGAAUUCGUUCUCCUGGUCGCUGAGGUUCCUGUGCGCCCUCCCCGUCCACCAGUGGGCGUCGGCCUGGAAGUCGUAGCGCACGAACACCCCGAAGAGAACCACCAUAGCCCCCUGCAGGAGCAGGCAGAGAAAAGGGGAUCAUUGGCCUCCCAGGGAGAUCAGAAUGAAGGAAUUCCCAGACCUAAGCAUCAUCAUCACCAUCAUCAUCAUCUGCAUCAACAUCUGUCCUUUCUUUUUCUGAUUAUGAAAUUCACACAGUGCAUGUGGAAAACAAGUAAUAUCUGGGACGGAGCACCCUGGGAGACAGGCAGCUCUCUGCGAUGUGCUACCAGGCUUGACCCUGGAACAGAAAGACGAUGUGAAUGGGAAAACUGGUAAAAUCCAAAGAGAGCCUGAAAAUUCCCAGGAAGCUGCUAGGCCUCUCUUGACCCCAGUGAACCCCAGCAACCACCAACCAAGGAAUGGGCCUGAGGAGCGUCUCCCAGUCCAGAAGUCUUCUCUUUAUCCCCAUUUCUGUGGCAGGAGCAACUUGCCUGGAACAAUUAAAAAGUAUGUGCCGCUUGAGAUUCUCCAGAGAAAGAUAAUCAAGCUUGAGCAAUUGAGCUGCUUUUCAUUUCUUCACUCGAUUUAAAGGAGUGUAUUGGCCGGGCGCAGUGGCUCAUGUCUGUAAUCCCAGCACUUUGAGAGGCCAAGGCAGGUGGAUCACGAGGUCAGGAGUUCAAGACCAGCCUGGCCAAGAUGGUGAAACCCCAUCUCUACUAAAAAUACAAAAAUUAGCUGGCAUCUGUAAUCCCAGCUACUCAGGAGGCUGAGGCAAAGAAUUGCUUGAACCUGGGGAGACAGAGGCUGCAGUGAACUGAGAUUGCACCAUUGGACUCCAGCCUGGGCAACAGAGCGAGACUUGGUCUCGGGAGAAAAAGACAAAAAGAGUGUAUUUACCAUUCCAUCUUAGGACAUUGUGAUAGCCAUAAAGUCUUUGUGUGAGAAAGGUAAGAGGAAAGUUAAUCCAUAAUGAAGAUUAACAAUAAAAGGGAAGGGUCAACAUAAAAAUAUAUAUAUUUCUAUAUGUUAGCAACAAACAAUUGGAAUUUGAAAAAAAUUUUGAAGAACGAUUUACAGUAGUACCAGAAAACAUGAAAUACUUAGGUAUAAAUCUAGCAAAAUAUGUGCAAGGUCUGUCUGCUGAAAACUUUAAAACACUAAUUUAAAAAAAAAGUCAAAGAGGCCAGGCACAGUGGCUCACACUUGUAAUUCCAGCACUUUGGGAGGCCAAGGCAGGUGGAACACCUGAGGUCAGGAGUUCAAGACCAGCCUGGCCAAUAUGGUGAAACUCCAUCUCUACUAAAAAUACAAGAUAUAAAUUAUUCCCACACUGAUUUAGAUUCAGUGCAAUUCUAAUAAAAAUUCCAGCAGAUUUUUUUUAAAGUGGACAAGGUGAUUUUAAAGGUUGUAUGAAAACGCAAUGGGGCUGGGCACAGUGGCUCACGUCUGUAAUUCCAACACUUUGGGAGGCCUAGGUGGGUGGGUCACCUGAAGCCAGGAGUUCAAGACCAGCCUGGCCAACAUGGCAAAACGCUGUCUCUACUAAAAAUACAAAAAAUUAGUCGGGCAUGGUGGCAGGUGCCUGUAAUCUCGGCUACUUGGGAGGCUGAGACAGGAGAAUUGCUUGAACCUGGGAGGUGUAGGCUGCAGUGAGCCAAGAUUGCGCUACUGCACUCCAGCCCGGACAAGAGUGAAACUCCACCUCAAAUAAAAAAAAAAAGAGGCAAUGGAACUAGAAUAGUCAGAACAAUUUCAAUCAAGAACAAAAAAGUUAGAGAAUGUAUACUAAUUUCAUGACUUAUGCCUGUAAUCCCAGCACUUUGGGAAGCCAAAGCAGGAAGAUCACUUGAAGCCAGGUCAGCCUGGGCAAUGUAGUGAGAGUCUGUCUCUACAAAAUAUUUUUUUUUAAUUGGCUGAGCACGGUGGCACAUGCUUGUAGUCCCAGCUACUUGAGAAGCUGAGGUGUGAGGACAGCUUGAGCCCAGGAGUUGGAGGCUGCGGUAAGCUGUGAUCACACCACUGCACUCCAGCCUGGGUGACAGAGCAAAAGCCUGUCUCUAAAUAAAUAAACAAAUAAUUUUUCAAAAAAAAACAUUCAGAGUGUUGCAGAGUAUUACAACUUCUAGAGCCUUCACACUUGCAAAUCACUUCCUUUAAUUCUCAACUCAUUGAAGACUUGAGCUGAGCCCUCCAGGUGGUCAACUUUAAGACAUGAGGCACAGAAAUGCCUUGGUGGGUUCCUAUGAUGGGCCAGACACCUUAUGUGCAUUAUCCAUGAUCCUGCAAGAAUGACAUCACUAUCUCCCAAGGCAGAUGGAGAAACAGUCACAGGUGAUUAUUUGUCCCAAAUGUCACACAGCUGGGAAGUUCAAGCCAAAGAAGGAUACCAGUGGAGCAGAGUAUGGGGGAGUAGGCAGGCGGACAGGCAGUGCGGCCCCACUUGCACAGAGCCCCGAGGCAGAGCCUCAGAGACACUAGUCCAGGGCUCCUGCAAGCUGCGGACUGGGGGAGGAACUAGCAGAAUGUGAGGUCCCCAGAGGACACAGAACCAAAGAUGCUAGAGAGAGAACAAGGUCCUCAUCAACAUGGAGCUGAUGGAGCAGAACCCCAAGGACAACACAUUCAUUUACUCCCCAGCAGGGAUUGUCUGAUCCAACCCCUCAAUUCAGACAUAUGGCAACUGAAGCCAGAGGGACAAACAAAUAUGCCUGAGGUCCCCCACCUUGUCAGCAGCAGGGCAAGACAAGAGUUCCUAUUCCUGAUUCAGGGUCCAGCGCUCUUUCAGAGGCACCUUCCUGCAUUCUGAGAUUAAACUCACCCUUUAACUAGUGACCCUUUUAAUUUCUUAUCCAAAGCAGAAUGAGAAGGGGCCUUAUUAAUCAUUACAAAAACAGGAUGGCAGGUGUCCACAGGACUGCCCUGUGCAAAUGGGACAUACAGUCAUUCUAGCAGAGCAUUCUCGAAUGCCACCCACCUGCCCACCAGGAAAGCCUCUUCACAGCCUUUGACUAUGAACCUGACAACUCACCAUCACCCUCCAUGCCAGGUGAGGGGCUGAAGGACCAAACAGCCCUGAGGGUCUGGCUUUCCUAGGGGUCUUUAGGGAUCCCAGAACUGGCUGCUCCAACAUUGGCCUCUGUUGCUGCCUGGAACUGUGUAUACAUAAACAGGGGCCCCAUUUGUCCCCACCUUUCAGGGGCAAGCUCCCUGCCAAGCCCAGUGGAAGUCCAGUUUUAGGUGCUUGCCUCUGGGUGAUACCCACUGAACCAAAGCUGUCCUCACUGUGAGACUGUGAAUGUGGGGCCCUCCUGUAGGGCCCCAGGACAGUGGGAGAAGGUCCCUGCUGGCCUGGUAGCCAGGUCACAGCAGAAACUGGGAGGAUGUGGGAAGCACACCCAGUGGUAUAAAUUAGCUGUGCUGUUUCUUUCCCCUCCUUCACUCCUUGGUCCCCCCCCAGUAGUCACCAGCUUCUGAAACUUAACCAUACACACACAUCUCCUGGGGACCUUGUUAAACUGCAGAUUCUGACUUCACAGACCUGCAGUGGAGCCUGAGAUGCUGCAUUUCUAACAAGCCCCAGGUGAAGCCAAUGCUGCUGGCUCAGGUGCCACUUGGAAUAGUAACCCUCUCUCACAGGGGUAAUCAUACCUUGUCAUUGCUUUCUUAUGUGGUUGUUACUAAUUGCGGCAGAUUGUUGUAGUACAGCCCUCAUAAUCACAGGCUUGAAACGCACAUGUGCGUUGGGCUUGUCCUCUUGGAACCCUGCUGCUGAGGGAAGAGCCCACGCUGGCCUGCUGGAAUCCCCUGGCUCAGCCAACAGCCAACAUUGACGGCCAGACCCAAGAGUGAGACCAUUUAGAUUAUCCAGCUCCAGUUGCAGCCACACAAAUUAGUCCAGAAGAAUCGCCCAGCUGAGUCCAGCCCAAACUGGGGACCCAUACAAUGGUGAGCACAUAAAAUUGUCAUUGUUUAGGUCACUAGGUUUUGGAGUGGUGUGCUACCUGGCAAUAGACAACCGAUAUACUGGUUUAAGGUUUCUGUUGGGGCUGGAACUAGGUCUAUUUUAUUUGGUGCAUUACAUGCAGUGUUUUGAAUUCAUGAGUAAAUGAACUAACCUGGAUCUGUCUGAUUCUAAAACCCAAGAGUUUCUGCUCCACUGUUUCUGCUCCCUGUUCCCAGACAAGCUGCUUAUCCUGGGUCUAGUGAGGUCAAGGGUCGGAUAUGUAACCUAGCCUAGGUUAACUAGUGCUUACCAGUCUAGGGUGAUCGGUUAAGGGAUGAGUGUGUGACCUAAUGUAACCCAAUCAGAUUGAAACUCAGGACUCCACUGAGAAUGGUGGGAAAAACACCUUCUCUUCCCCCAACAAUAUAAAGAGGAAAUAGAGGAAUGAUUUUCAAAAUCUGACUUACCACUAAUCUGACAAGUCAGCAUAGGAAGGAAGGACUUAGGCCCGUGGCUAUGCUGAGCUUUAACUCUUGAGUUGCAUUUUGGGGAGGUCCAGGGUAUUCCCGGACUUGGAGGGCUCGGGACAGUGGCUAUUUACCAGUGAGUGCAGGGUGUCCAUUUUAACCAUUGGUAUCGACGUAACAUUGUGAAGGGCCAACAGCCCUGUGAGCUGUCCUGAGAGCUCACAAGCCUGUCUGAACGUGAAGCCAACACCAUGAAAAUAGUCUUGGGAAAUGCAGAGAAAGAAACCAGGCCCUGGUGAGAGCAUUUAGGCUCUGGGUAAAGUCUUGUCUGAUGCUAAAACUACCACUGAGCUUCUAAAUCACAUGAGCCCAGAAAUAUAUUUGGUUCGGCCAAUAGGGCUGGACUUUAGGGUGCCUGCACUUAUCAGGAUGCUUCCUAAUCGGCUGACCUUUGUUCUGGGAAUCUAAUGCGCCUUUAAGCUCAACCAGAUGAUUCGGAUACUCUAAAAUUAACCCAGGUUUAAGCCAGAACAAGAGAGAAAUGAAUCCCCGAGCCGACUCACAACAUUCCCUAUGAAUCAGUUUCACUCUCCUGUGCUCUGCCAAAAGAAAUGUUUCAUAAAACUCGUCUUUGAACCUAUUGGAAAGAUGUUCUUGAGGGUGUGACUUCCCGCUUUCCACAGGGUCUUUCUAGUCUUUCAGCUGUAGAUUCCUAAGCAGUAGUUUAAUUUCCUACCACACGGACGGUUAUGAACUGUGUAACUAACUAGUUUUCCCUUUUAGUCUUGGCUGCCAGGAAACCUCACACCAAAUAUGUUCCCACUUGCAGCAAAAAUGCACAAUUCCAUGACAGGUCUUUUUACAGUAGCUUCAUUACUGGUUCAAUUUUAUGUCCUUAGCCUUGUUUUACCCUAUUUAUUCUUAUUUACUUUGACUUAAAUAAUCCUGCUUCAUUUUAUGAAUUCCUAAAAGAAAAUAGGAGUUAUAAUCUAAAAACAUCACUUUGAUUUAGGCUUGGUUAAAAUGAAAAAAAACUACAGGGUACUGUUAUGUCACUUUAAAUUUCAGUGAAGGAAAUGGAAGGGAGGUAUGGAAGAACAUAUAUAUUCCAAGGAUCUCAAGAGCAUAAAGAAUCAAGACACCAAGGCCAGGCGUGAUGGCUCAGGCCGUAGCAUUUUGGGAGGCAGAGGUGGGAAGAUCACUUGAGAUCAGGAGUUCGAGACCAGCUUGGCCAACAUGGUGAAACCCCAUCUCUACUAAAAAUACAAAAAUUAGACCAGGUGCAGUAGCUAAUGCCUGUAAUCCCAGCACUUUGGGAGGCCAAGGCGGGCAGAUCACAAGGUCAAGAGACGGAGACCACCCUGGCCAACAUGGUAAAACCCUAUCUCUACUAAAAAUACAAAAAUUAGCUGGGUGUGGUGGCAUACAGCUGUAGUCCUAGCUACUUGGGAGGCUGAGGCAGGAGAAUCACUUGAACCCAGAGGCGGAGGUUACAGUGAGCUGAGAUUGCACCACUGCACUCCAGCCUGGGUGACAGAGUGAGAAUGUGUCUCAAAAAAAAAACAAAAACCAGAAUCAGGACACCAGACAAACUGGGGGAAAAAGGCUUUUAUUUAAAUUGCAAGCCUCUGUCUCUUUUGGGUUCUUCCAAGAAGAAGCAAAAAGUCUCCUGAGCAAAUGAAUCCCGAGUUUUUCCAGGGGUGGCUAUCGAGUGUUAAGUACAGGGUCCUCCAACCUGGGAAGCCCCGCAAACAAAGUAUAUUAUUCAUUUAAUAUAGAAAAUGUCUGUGGAAGGAACUAAAGCUUGCUCACUUAGGUUACAAAUGAACCAUAGGUUCUUCUGUUAGAAAAAUCUGACUCCUUGGUGGAGUUUUUCUCUUUACUGGCUGUGCAAGUUAAAUAAAAAGAAAGUAAAAGUAAUUCCAGCAGAUUCAAACUCAAACACGACAUAGAGCUUGGGUUCUUCCAUCAUCUUAGACCCACUUAAGUCCUUUCUGAAGCCAGACAUAAUGCAAAUAAGUGAACAAUACACAAACAAUGAUUAAAUGAGCAUCAUUCUCAGCUGGCAUAGAAAGUGUUGAGAAAUGGAGAGAAACAGCCAGUGAAACCUGGAAGGAGAUGGACGCAGUGCUCCAGAAGAGAGUGUUUCUAGUGGGGGUUGAACAUGGCCCGAUAGGAAGGGAAGAAAAGGGAAGGGAAAAGGAAGUUAGGGAAGAAGAGGUUAGAAUGUAAUAGAAAAGGCCAGGCGCAGUGGCUCACGCCUGUAAUCCCAGCACUUUGGGAGGCCAAGGCAGGCAGAUCAUGAGGUGAGGAGUUUGAGACCAGCCUGGCCAAGAUGGUGACACCCCGUCUCUACUAAAAAAAAAAAAAUACAAAAAUGAACUGGGUGCGGUGGCAGGCACCUGUAAUCCCAGCUACUCAGGAGGCUGAGGCGAGAGAAUUGCUUGAACCCAGGAGACAGAGGUUUCAGUGAGCCGAAAUUGUGCCACUGCACUCCAACCUGUGUGACACAGUGAGACUUGGUCUCAAAAAAAAAACAAAUGUUAUAGAAAAGAGAGAUGGAAGGAGAACACUCCAGGUGGCAGGUACCAACAGGUCAAAGUCUGCAGGGAGAUGAGCCUUUGGAGCACUUUCAUGUACAGAGAGAUGUCUUCAAAACACCAUCCAGCCAUGGACUCUGUCUUUGUGCGGGUCCCACUUGUAGCAUCCCAUGCUUUUGAAGAAAAAGAUGUUAUGCUACUCCAUCCUGCCUGUAAAUCAAAUCGGCUGAGCCUGUGUGCUCCCACUUUAAGGGAAUGUCCCAACAUGUGGCAUCCAAAGGAAACACUGCUCUUACCCUGAAGGUUUUGUUUCUCUUGUUUCUACAUUUUCUGGACAAGGAGAGAUCAGAUCAGCUAACAUUAGCUAAAAUCCUCCUUCCCCAUUUCUACUCCUAGAGACUGACUUUCCAGAGCAGCUGCAGCUCAGUUAGAUCUCAUCUUCCAGAGACUCUAAAGUAGGGUUCUCAAAGCAUGGUCUCCAGACAAGCAACAUCAGCAUCACCUAUAAGCUUGUUUGGAAUAUAAAUUCUUAGGCCCUGUGGGAGGCAGAAUGAUGCCCCCACCCCCUACCCCCACCAAAGAUGUCCACAUCCUAGUCCCUGGAACCUGUUACUUUACAUGGCAAAAAGGACUUUUUGUAUGUGCUUAGGUUAAGGAUCUUGACAGGGAGAGGUCAUCCUGGAUGAUCUGAGCGGGUCUGGUGUAAUCGCAAGGGUCCUUACAAGUGAAAGAGAAAGGCAAGAGAGCCAGAGACAGAGCAGAUAGGAUGAUGGAAGCAGAAGUUGGAAUGAUGCAAUUGUUGGCUGUGAAGAUGGAGGAAGAGGCCACAAGCCAAGGAGUGCAGGUGCCUCUAAAAGAGGUGGUAAGCUAGGAAACAGAUUCUCCCUGAGCCUCUAGAGGGAGCACAGCCAACACCUUGAUGGUAGCCAGUGAGACUCAUUUUUAAUUUCACACCUCCAGAACUGUAAGAGAAUAGAUUUGUGUUGUUGGUUAAGUCACAGAGUUUGUGGUGAUUUGUACGGCAGCCACAGGAAAUGAAUACAGACCCCAUUCAGACCUGCUGGGUGGGAAACUCUGUAGGUGAGACCCAGCAUCCUGUAUUUACCAAGACCUUCAGGGGGUUCAGAGGCACGCCAAAGUUUGAGAACCACUGCUCCUAAAUGGUGGUUAUUGACCUUCAUGGCACAUCACACUCAUCUGGGGUGUUUCCAAAAACCACCCAUACCCAGCUCUACUCCCAGAAAUUCUGCUUUGAUUGGCUGCAGUAAGGUUCAGGCAUCCCAUUCUCAGAAGCUCCAUCUACUGCUCUAGUGCUGCACUGCCAGGCUGGAAAGCCGUGCUUCCCUCCCACUUCCCACUUCCGCCUCUGCUUCCUCCUU